AGUGAACGCUGGCGGUAGGCCUAACACAUGCAAGUCGAACGGCAGCACAGUAAGAGCUUGCUCUUACGGGUGGCGAGUGGCGGACGGGUGAGGAAUACAUCGGAAUCUACUUUUUCGUGGGGGAUAACGUAGGGAAACUUACGCUAAUACCGCAUACGACCUACGGGUGAAAGCAGGGGAUCUUCGGACCUUGCGCGAUUGAAUGAGCCGAUGUCGGAUUAGCUAGUUGGCGGGGUAAAGGCCCACCAAGGCGACGAUCCGUAGCUGGUCUGAGAGGAUGAUGAGACACACUGGAAGUGAGACACGGUCAAGACUCCUAAGGGAAGCAGAAGUGGGGAAUAGUGGAGAAUGGGGGGAAGGCUGAAACAGCCAUACAGAGGGGGAGAAGAAGGCCUUCGGGUUGGAAAGCCCUUUUGUUGGGAAAGAAAAGCAGAAGGUUGAUAACCCGCUGGCCAGACGGGGCGGAAAGAAUAAGCACCGGCUAACUUCAUG
rnacentral:rRNA from 1 species